rnacentral:rRNA from 1 species
CCUACGGGAGGCAGCAGUGGGGAAUAUUGCACAAUGGGGGAAACCCUGAUGCAGCGACGCCGCGUGAGUGAAGAAGUAACUCGUUAUGUAAAGCUCUAUCAGCAGGGAAGAAAAUGACGGUACCUGAGUAAGAAGCCCCGGCUAACUACGUGCCAGCAGCCGCGGUAAGACGUAGGGGGCAAGCGUUAUCCGGAUUUACUGGGUGUAAAGGGAGCGUAGGCGGCAGUGCAAGUCUGGAGUGAAAGGCGGGGGCUCAACCCCCGGACUGCUCUGGAAACUGUACGGCUGGAGUGCAGGAGAGGUAAGUGGAAUGCGUAGUGUAGCGGUGAAAUGCGUAGAUAUUAGGAGGAACACCGGUGGCGAAGGCAGCUUACUGGACUGUAACUGACGUUGAGGCUCGAAAGCGUGGGGAGCAAACAGGAUUAGAUACCCCAGUAGUC